GAGCCUUUAGCUCAGUUGGUUAGAGCAGUCCGCUCAUAACGGAUAGGUCGUAGGUUCAAGUCCUACAAGGCUCACCA
rnacentral:tRNA from 1 species